UACGUAGGGGGCAAGCGUUUUCCGGAUCUACUGGGUGUAAAGGGAGCGUAGACGGCAGUGCAAGUCUGAAGUGAAAGGCAAGGGCUCAACCCUUGGACUGCUUUGGAAACUGUGCUGCUGGAGUGUCGGAGAGGCAAGUGGAAUUCCUAGUGUAGCGGUGAAAUGCGUAGAUAUUAGGAGGAACACCAGUGGCGAAGGCGGCUUGCUGGACGAUGACUGACGUUGAGGCUCGAAAGCGUGGGGAGCAAACAGG
rnacentral:rRNA from 1 species